rnacentral:rRNA from 1 species
UGGGGAAUAUUGGACAAUGGGCGAAAGCCUGAUCCAGCCAUGCCGCGUGUGUGAAGAAGGUCUUCGGAUUGUAAAGCACUUUAAGUUGGGAGGAAGGGCAGUUACCUAAUACGUGAUUGUUUUGACGUUACCGACAGAAUAAGCACCGGCUAACUCUGUGCCAGCAGCCGCGGUAAUACAGAGGGUGCAAGCGUUAAUCGGAAUUACUGGGCGUAAAGCGCGCGUAGGUGGUUAGUUAAGUUGGAUGUGAAAUCCCCGGGCUCAACCUGGGAACUGCAUUCAAAACUGACUGACUAGAGUAUGGUAGAGGGUGGUGGAAUUUCCUGUGUAGCGGUGAAAUGCGUAGAUAUAGGAAGGAACACCAGUGGCGAAGGCGACCACCUGGACUGAUACUGACACUGAGGUGCGAAAGCGUGGGGAGCAAACAGGAUUAGAUACCCGUGUAGUCCCUGAGCGGGCUGGCAAGGCGCAU